rnacentral:tRNA from 1 species
GCCGGAGUGGUGGAAUUGGCAGACACGCUAUCUUGAGGGGGUAGUGGACUAAAUCCGUGCCGGUUCGAGCCCGGCCUUCGGCACCA